rnacentral:rRNA from 1 species
UGCAAGUCGAGCGGACAGAUGGGAGCUUGCUCCCUGAUGUUAGCGGCGGACGGGUGAGUAACACGUGGGUAACCUGCCUGUAAGACUGGGAUAACUCCGGGAAACCGGGGCUAAUACCGGAUGGUUGUUUGAACCGCAUGGUUCAGACAUAAAAGGUGGCUUCGGCUACCACUUACAGAUGGACCCGCGGCGCAUUAGCUAGUUGGUGAGGUAACGGCUCACCAAGGCGACGAUGCGUAGCCGACCUGAGAGGGUGAUCGGCCACACUGGGACUGAGACACGGCCCAGACUCCUACGGGAGGCAGCAGUAGGGAAUCUUCCGCAAUGGACGAAAGUCUGACGGAGCAACGCCGCGUGAGUGAUGAAGGUUUUCGGAUCGUAAAGCUCUGUUGUUAGGGAAGAACAAGUGCCGUUCAAAUAGGGCGGCACCUUGACGGUACCUAACCAGAAAGCCACGGCUAACUACGUGCCAGCAGCCGCGGUAAUACGUAGGUGGCAAGCGUUGUCCGGAAUUAUUGGGCGUAAAGGGCUCGCAGGCGGUUUCUUAAGUCUGAUGUGAAAGCCCCCGGCUCAACCGGGGAGGGUCAUUGGAAACUGGGGAACUUGAGUGCAGAAGAGGAGAGUGGAAUUCCACGUGUAGCGGUGAAAUGCGUAGAGAUGUGGAGGAACACCAGUGGCGAAGGCGACUCUCUGGUCUGUAACUGACGCUGAGGAGCGAAAGCGUGGGGAGCGAACAGGAUUAGAUACCCUGGUAGUCCACGCCGUAAACGAUGAGUGCUAAGUGUUAGGGGGUUUCCGCCCCUUAGUGCUGCAGCUAACGCAUUAAGCACUCCGCCUGGGGAGUACGGUCGCAAGACUGAAACUCAAAGGAAUUGACGGGGGCCCGCACAAGCGGUGGAGCAUGUGGUUUAAUUCGAAGCAACGCGAAGAACCUUACCAGGUCUUGACAUCCUCUGACAAUCCUAGAGAUAGGACGUCCCCUUCGGGGGCAGAGUGACAGGUGGUGCAUGGUUGUCGUCAGCUCGUGUCGUGAGAUGUUGGGUUAAGUCCCGCAACGAGCGCAACCCUUGAUCUUAGUUGCCAGCAUUCAGUUGGGCACUCUAAGGUGACUGCCGGUGACAAACCGGAGGAAGGUGGGGAUGACGUCAAAUCAUCAUGCCCCUUAUGACCUGGGCUACACACGUGCUACAAUGGACAGAACAAAGGGCAGCGAAACCGCGAGGUUAAGCCAAUCCCACAAAUCUGUUCUCAGUUCGGAUCGCAGUCUGCAACUCGACUGCGUGAAGCUGGAAUCGCUAGUAAUCG